UACGUAGGGCGCGAGCGUUGUCCGGAAUUAUUGGGCGUAAAGAGCUCGUAGGCGGCCGGUUGCGUCUGCUGUGAAAUCCCGGGGCUUAACCCCGGGCGUGCAGUGGAUACGGGCCGGCUGGAGGCAGGCAGGGGAGAAUGGAAUUCCCGGUGUAGCGGUGAAAUGCGCAGAUAUCGGGAGGAACACCGGUGGCGAAGGCGGUUCUCUGGGCCUGUACUGACGCUGAGGAGCGAAAGCGUGGGAAGCGAACAGG
rnacentral:rRNA from 1 species